rnacentral:rRNA from 1 species
UACGGAGGGUGCAAGCGUUAUCCGGAUUUACUGGGUUUAAAGGGUGCGUAGGUGGGCAGGUAAGUCAGUGGUGAAAUCUCCGGGCUCAACCUGGGAAUUGCAUUCGAGACUGCGUGGCUAGGGUGCGGAAGAGGGAAGCGGAAUUUCCGGUGUAGCGGUGAAAUGCGUAGAUAUCGGAAGGAACACCAGUGGCGAAAGCGGCUUCCUGGUCCAGCACCGACGUUCAGGCACGAAAGCGUGGGGAGCAAACAGG